GUUGCUUGCUGUAGAAGAAUCACAGUUCUGAUCUACAGGAGUGUCAGUGUUUCCUACCCUCUGUCAGUUUUCUGUUUCAUUGUGCAUUAUUAGGACCCUUUUAAACUUUGUCCCCUAAAUGAUGCCCCAGGUUGAUUACUCACUGGCCUUGUGCUAAAGGCAGUGCUGGAUAAUCUAUCUACAGCAAGGGAACAGGCUUCCCUGGGUUUCACAGUCAACAGCCCUGCAUGUCUGUCUACUAAGACACUAUGCUGUUAGUGGAUUGAGAAACCACAUGUUUGUUUGCCUUAUCUUUCAUUAUGCACAGGGUUUCUCCAAGCUCUAUGUUUCUCCCAGCUCUCUGAAUCCUUCACUCUGCACAGCCUCUCUUGGCAGUCCCCUGCCUCUCCAGCUGCAUGGGGUCUGAUGGGCCUUCGGUUAGUUUUUUGUUUGUCCUCUCAUCUAUGCUUUCCCCUAAAGGUUACCCCUGAACAUCUUCCUUCUGCUGUUCCUUCCCACACACCACCUCCUGGGAGCCGGCUGCAGUGCACUUCAGUGUUUCAGGUUCAGAAUAUGCUGUUGUCAAUAUGCCCAUUCUGAGAAUUGACAAGCCCAUUCUGAGAAUUUUCUUCCUUCCAUUUGUGUUGGUAGAGUUACAAUGAAGAGUGAAUAAGUAAGCAUCUUUUCCACACCACUUCUGAUUUUACUGACCUUAAAUGUGUCUUUUCCACAUAAUGAAUCCUGCUGAUUUAGUUUUUCUCCAUACAGGUGUUCCAACCUUUGGACCACCCCUUUUGUCUUUCUCCUACACCUGUAUAAUUUCUACAAUGAUUUUUCACAUUAUAGAACCCGAACUGUCACUAUAAGAUGGGUAAAUUCACACCAUCUGUACAAUGCCUUCAUUUCAUUUCUGGUUUAGCUUUUAUUCCUUUCCUAUAUACUGACAUAGUCUAUAGGCUAGGUCUCUGCAGUCACUUGGCAGAGCACUGAGGAGCAGAGGGGGCAAUGCUGUCCAAAUGAUCUCUCCCUCCAAUCACAGUUAAUAAAAAUCCUGUCUGACCUGUCCUAAAUUGUACCCAUGUUAUUAUGCGCUUAGAGUCUCCAGAUCACUGACACUUGACAAAGCUCUGUGUCUUUCUGACUGGUGUUAACAGUGAAGUGAGAGCUUCCCACAGACCUACCAGCAGUGACUCCUAGUUCUCUUUCCUGAAAGGUAAUAGCCAAUUUAAAAUCCAUUAAGUUAUAUAUGUCUAGUUAAGGUUGUUUCCCUCCAUAUUCAUUACUUCACAUUUAUUGACAUUGGAUUUUGUCUGUUAUUUUACUGCCUGCAUACUCAGAGCAUGUUCACCUGACUAAAUGUAGAUGAAUGGCAUCUGAGCCAGGCAGCAGAAAGAGGCAUCUUCAGGGUUGUGAUUCGUCUGAUUCUAAUGCCUGUAUCCCCGGCAGAGCAGGGGAAUUGAGCCUUAAAAGUGCCUGUUUCUCUCCACUGAGUACAAAAGAGCCUCAGGUGACUCUUGAUUUCUCUACAAGCAAUGUUGUAGAUGUUGGUGGUUAGAUGACUCCCACGUGUGUCAUAUUGCAAGUGGUCUCUGUCACACUGCAGUCAGCUUUUGUUUAUAUUGCCCUAAACUAUUUUGUACCAUCAACAUACCCUGCCACACUGCCAUUCACCUUUCUCCAAUGAUUUAUGGGCAAAUGGAGCUCACAACUUCACAGAUGCUGCUGAGACUCCUCUGGAAAUCUCUUUCUUUUGAAAAAAAAAAUGACCUUUUGUGCCUACCUUUUCUGACCACAAGAGCUUUAUUUAUUUCUUUAGAAACCUUCUGGGAGGGAUCUUGUCAAAACCCUCUUGGAAACACAAGUGUGCUGCAUCGACAGCACCACUGCAAUCUGUGCUCUCACUGACUUUUUCCAAGGAGCUCAGUGGAUUUACGAGUGCCCUUAAACCGAUGGAUGAAAGAGCCCCAGGACCUGCUAAGGGCUGGAAGAGCUUCUGUCAGCUGCCAUGGGAUUAGGUCAAAGUAUACAGGAGCAGGAAGGAUGGCACCGCUCAAGAUACUGGCCCAAAUUUGUACACCUGAUUGAAACUCUGCAAAGCCUGAGAACUUACACAAAGAUAACUCAUUGUUAUACUUAACGGGAGGUUGGUUGUACUGCAUCAGGUUCACUUUGGGUUGCAGGGUAGUUGGACAAAGCAGAUUCUUGUCACACCAACAGGCAUCCUUUAAAAGCCUGGAAAUACUUCUGUAUAAAGAGAGACCACAGCUGCUUGAUUCAGAAAGCAGAUAAAAAAGUAAAUGUAUGAAUAGAGUCAAUAUAGAGUGGAAGAUGAACAAAAUAAUAAAUGUAAUAGAAAAUCAA